rnacentral:rRNA from 1 species
CCUACGGGAGGCAGCAGUGGGGAAUAUUGCACAAUGGGGGAAACCCUGAUGCAGCGACGCCGCGUGAGUGAAGAAGUAUCUCGGUACGUAAAGCUCUAUCAGCAGGGAAGAAAAUGACGGUACCUGACUAAGAAGCCCCGGCUAACUACGUGCCAGCAGCCUCGGUAAUACGUAGGGGGCAAGCGUUAUCCGGAUUUACUGGGUGUAAAGGGAGCGUAGACGGUUAAUCAAGUCAGAAGUGAAAACCCAGGGCUCAACCUUGGGACUGCUUUUGAAACUGAGUAGCUAGAGUGCAGGAGAGGUAAGCGGAAUUCCUAGUGUAGCGGUGAAAUGCGUAGAUAUUAGGAGGAACACCAGUGGCGAAGGCGGCUUACUGGACUGUAACUGACGUUGAGGCUCGAAAGCGUGGGGAGCAAACAGGAUUAGAUACCCCAGUAGUC